rnacentral:rRNA from 1 species
GGAAUUUUGGACAAUGGGCGCAAGCCUGAUCCAGCAACGAUGCGUGGAGGAUGAAGGUUCUCGGAUUGUAAACUCCUUUUAAGGGGGACGAAAAAAAUGACGGUACCCCUUGAAUAAGCCACGGCUAACUACGUGCCAGCAGCCGCGGUAAGACGUAGGUGGCGAGCGUUACUCGGAAUUACUAGGCGUAAAGCGCGCGUAGGCGGAAUGUUAAGUCUGUUGUGUAAUCUCUGGGCUCAACCCAGAAACUGCAACGGAAACUGGCGUUCUUGAGUGAGGCAGAGGAGAUCGGAAUUCCUAGUGUAGCAGUGAAAUGCGUAGAUAUUAGGAGGAACACCGGUGGCGAAGGCGGAUCUCUGGGCCUUUACUGACGCUCAAGUGCGAAAGCUAGGGGAGCAAACG